rnacentral:rRNA from 1 species
GACGAACGCUGGCGGCGUGCUUAACACAUGCAAGUCGAACGGAAAGGCCCUGCUUUUGUGGGGUGCUCGAGUGGCGAACGGGUGAGUAACACGUGAGUAACCUGCCCUUGACUUUGGGAUAACUUCAGGAAACUGGGGCUAAUACCGGAUAGGAGCUCCUGCUGCAUGGUGGGGGUUGGAAAGUUUCGGCGGUUGGGGAUGGACUCGCGGCUUAUCAGCUUGUUGGUGGGGUAGUGGCUUACCAAGGCUUUGACGGGUAGCCGGCCUGAGAGGGUGACCGGCCACAUUGGGACUGAGAUACGGCCCAGACUCCUACGGGAGGCAGCAGUGGGGAAUAUUGCACAAUGGGCGGAAGCCUGAUGCAGCAACGCCGCGUGCGGGAUGACGGCCUUCGGGUUGUAAACCGCUUUCGCCUGUGACGAAGCGUGAGUGACGGUAAUGGGUAAAGAAGCACCGGCUAACUACGUGCCAGCAGCCGCGGUGAUACGUAGGGUGCGAGCGUUGUCCGGAUUUAUUGGGAGUAAAGGGCUCGUAGGUGGUUGAUCGCGUCGGAAGUGUAAUCUUGGGGCUUAACCCUGAGCGUGCUUUCGAUACGGGUUGACUUGAGGAAGGUAGGGGAGAAUGGAAUUCCUGGUGGAGCGGUGGAAUGCGCAGAUAUCAGGAGGAACACCAGUGGCGAAGGCGGUUCUCUGGGCCUUUCCUGACGCUGAGGAGCGAAAGCGUGGGGAGCGAACAGGCCUAGAUACCCUGGUAGUCCACGCUGUAAACGGUGGGUACUAGGUGUGGGGUCCAUUCCACGGGUUCCGUGCCGUAGCUAACGCUUUAAGUACCCCGCCUGGGGAGUACGGCCGCAAGGCUAAAACUCAAAGGAAUUGACGGGGCCCCGCACAAGCGGCGGAGCAUGCGGAUUAAUUCGAUGCAACGCGUAGAACCUUACCUGGGUUUGACAUGGAUCGGGAGUGCUCAGAGAUGGGUGUGCCUCUUUUGGGGUCGGUUCACAGGUGGUGCAUGGCUGUCGUCAGCUCGUGUCGUGAGAUGUUGGGUUAAGUCCCGCAACGAGCGCAACCCUUGUUCACUGUUGCCAGCACGUUAUGGUGGGGACUCAGUGGAGACCGCCGGGGUCAACUCGGAGGAAGGUGGGGAUGACGUCAAGUCAUCAUGCCCCUUAUGUCCAGGGCUUCACGCAUGCUACAAUGGCUGGUACAGAGAGUGGCGAGCCUGUGAGGGUGAGCGAAUCUCGGAAAGCCGGUCUCAGUUCGGAUUGGGGUCUGCAACUCGACCUCAUGAAGUCGGAGUCGCUAGUAAUCGCAGAUCAGCAACGCUGCGGUGAAUACGUUCCCGGG